rnacentral:rRNA from 1 species
AGAACUCCGAUUGCGAAGGCAGCCAACAAGGCCUUUACUGACGCUAAAGCUCGAAGGUGCGGGUAUCGAACAGGAUUAGAUACCCUGGUAGUCCGCACGGUAAACGAUGGAUGCCCGCUGUUUGCGAUAUACUGUGAGCGGCCAAGAGAAAUCGUUAAGCAUCCCACCUGGGGAGUACGCCGGCAACGGUGAAACUCAAAGGAAUUGACGGGGGCCCGCACAAGCGGAGGAACAUGUGGUUUAAUUCGAUGAUACGCGAGGAACCUUACCCGGGCUUGAACUGCCAGCGAACGAUUCAGAGAUGAUGAGGCCCUUCGGGGCGCUGGUGGAGGUGCUGCAUGGUUGUCGUCAGCUCGUGCCGUGAGGUGUCGGCUUAAGUGCCAUAACGAGCGCAACCCUUUUCUUUAGUUGCCAUCAGGUGAUGCUGGGCACUCUGGAGAUACUGCCACCGUAAGGUGUGAGGAAGGUGGGGAUGACGUCAAAUCAGCACGGCCCUUACGUCCGGGGCUACACACGUGUUACAAUGGGGGGUACAGAGAGUCGGAUAUACGCAAGUAUGUUCUAAUCCUUAAAGCCUUCCUCAGUUCGGAUUGGGGUCUGCAACCCGACCCCAUGAAGCUGGAUUCGCUAGUAAUCGCGCAUCAGCCAUGGCGCGGUGAAUACGUUCCCGGGCCUUGUACACACCGCCCGUCAAGCCAUGAAAGCCGGGGGCGCUUGAAGUCCGUGACCGCAAGGAUCGGCCUAGAGCGAAACUGGUAAUUGGGGCUAAGUGGGGAACAAGGUAGCCGUA